rnacentral:rRNA from 1 species
UACGGGGGGAGCAAGCGUUGUUCGGAUUUACUGGGCGUAAAGGGCGCGUAGGCGGCCAGCACAAGUCAGUUGUGAAAUCUCCGAGCUUAACUCGGAAAGGUCAACUGAUACUGUGCGGCUAGAGUGCGGAAGGGGCAACUGGAAUUCUUGGUGUAGCGGUGAAAUGCGUAGAGAUCAGGAAGAACAUCGGUGGCGAAGGCGCUCUGCUGGACCAUAACUGACACUCAGGGACGAAAAGCUAGGGGGAGCGAAUGGG